rnacentral:rRNA from 1 species
UACGUAGGGUGCGAGCGUUAAUCGGAAUUACUGGGCGUAAAGCGUGCGCAGGCGGCGCGUUAAGACAGGUGUGAAAGCCCCGAGCUUAACUUGGGAAUUGCGCUUGUGACUGGCGGGCUGGAGUGUGGCAGAGGGAGGUGGAAUUCCACGUGUAGCAGUGAAAUGCGUAGAGAUGUGGAGGAACACCGAUGGCGAAGGCAGCCCCCUGGGCUGAGAUUGACGCUCAGGCACGAAAGCGUGGGGAGCAAACAGG